rnacentral:rRNA from 1 species
UACGAACUGUGCGAACGUUAUUCGGAAUUACUGGGCGUAAAGGGCGCGCAGGCGGCUGCUCAAGUCAGGCGUGAAAGGCCUGGGCUCAACCCGGGAAUUGCGCUUGAGACUGGGCUGGCUUGAGUGCGGGAGAGGAUGGUGGAAUUCCCAGUGUAGAGGUGAAAUUCGUAGAUAUUGGGAAGAACACCGGUGGCGAAGGCGGCCAUCUGGACCGCAACUGACGCUGAGGCGCGAAAGCGUGGGGAGCAAACAGG